rnacentral:rRNA from 1 species
UACGUAGGGGGCAAGCGUUGUCCGGAAUCAUUGGGCGUAAAGCGCGUGUAGGCGGCCCGGUAAGUCCGUUGUGAAAGUCAAAGGCUCAACCUUUGAACGCCGAUGGAUACUGCCGGGCUAGAGUCCGGAAGAGGCGAGUGGAAUUCCUGGUGUAGCGGUGGAAUGCGCAGAUAUCAGGAGGAACACCAACAGCGAAGGCAGCUCGCUGGGACGGUACUGACGCUGAGGCGCGAAAGCGUGGGGAGCGAACAGG